rnacentral:rRNA from 1 species
AAUAGAUACCCUGGUAGUCCACGCCGUAAACGAUGUCGACUUGGAGGUUGUUCCCUUGAGGAGUGGCUUCCGGAGCUAACGCGUUAAGUCGACCGCCUGGGGAGUACGGCCGCAAGGUUAAAACUCAAAUGAAUUGACGGGGGCCCGCACAAGCGGUGGAGCAUGUGGUUUAAUUCGAUGCAACGCGAAGAACCUUACCUACUCUUGACAUCCAGAGAACUUAGCAGAGAUGCUUUGGUGCCUUCGGGAACUCUGAGACAGGUGCUGCAUGGCUGUCGUCAGCUCGUGUUGUGAAAUGUUGGGUUAAGUCCCGCAACGAGCGCAACCCUUAUCCUUUGUUGCCAGCGGUUCGGCCGGGAACUCAAAGGAGACUGCCAGUGAUAAACUGGAGGAAGGUGGGGAUGACGUCAAGUCAUCAUAGCCCUUACGAGUAGGGCUACACACGUGCUACAAUGGCGUAUACAAAGAGAAGCGACCUCGCGAGAGCAAGCGGACCUCAUAAAGUACGUCGUAGUCCGGAUUGGAGUCUGC